GACGAACGCUGGCGGCGUGCUUAACACAUGCAAGUCGAACGGAAAGGCCCUGCUUUUGUGGGGUGCUCGAGUGGCGAACGGGUGAGUAACACGUGAGUAACCUGCCCUUGACUUUGGGGUAACUUCAGGGAACUGGGGCUAAUACCGGAUAGGAGCUCCUGCUGCAUGUUGGGGGUUGGAAAGUUUCGGCGGUUGGGGAUGGACUCGCGGCUUAUCAGCUUGUUGGUGGGGUAGUGGCUUACCAAGGCUUUGACGGGUAGCCGGCCUGAGAGGGUGACCGGCCACCUUGGGACUGAGAUACGGCCCAGACGGCUACGGGAGGCAGCAGGGGGGAACAUGGCACAAUGGGCGGAAGCCUGAUGCAGCAACGCCGCGUGCGGGAUGACGGCUUUCGGGUGGUAAACCGCUGUCGCCUGUGACGAAGCGGGAGUGACGGUAAUGGGUAAAGAAGCACCGGCUAACUACGUG
rnacentral:rRNA from 1 species